CAUAGCCUUUAGCCCUAACCGUAUUAAAGGUAACGCCUGCCCAGUGAGUAUUUAAACGGCCGCGGUAUCCUAACCGUGCAAAGGUAGCGUAAUCACUUGUCUCCUAAAUAGAGACCAGUAUGAAUGGCUAAAUGAGGAUUAAACUGUCUCCUACCACCAAUCAGUGAAACUGAUCUCCCAGUACAAAAGCUGGGAUAAAUACAUAAGACGAGAAGACCCUGUGGAGCUUAAAAUUAAGGCCACCUAGAACAACCAACCACCAGCUAUGGCUCACAAUUUUAAGUUGGGGCGACUUCGGAACCAAACAAAACUUCCGAGCACAAGAACAUCCCUCAUACCAAGGCCCACACGCCUAAGCACAAACUGACCCAGUCUAACUGAUCAACGAACCAAGUUACCCCAGGGAUAA
rnacentral:rRNA from 1 species